rnacentral:rRNA from 1 species
UACGGAGGGUGCAAACGUUGCUCGGAAUCAUUGGGCGUAAAGCGCACGUAGGCGGUCCGACAAGUCGGAUGUGAAAGCCCCCGGCUCAACUGGGGAAGUGCACUCGAAACUGUCGGACUUGAGUAUGGAAGAGGGUCUCGGAAUUCCCGGUGUAGAGGUGAAAUUCGUAGAUAUCGGGAGGAACACCAGCGGCGAAGGCGGAGACCUGGGCCAAUACUGACGCUGAGGUGCGAAAGCGUGGGGAGCAAACAGG